ACUCAAAUGAAUUGACGGGGCCCCGCACAAGCGGCGGAGCGUGCGGUUUAAUUCGACGCAACGCGCAGAACCUUACCAGGGCUUGACAUGCGACUGCAGAGCGGUGAAAGCCGAAGUCCUUCGAGGGUGUCGCACAGGUGCUGCAUGGCUGUCGUCAGCUCGUGUCGUGAGAUGUUGGGUUAAGUCCCGCAACGAGCGCAACCCCCGUGGCCAGUUACGUGGGUGUCUGGCCAGACUGCCGGUAGCAAGCCGGAGGAAGGCGGGGAUGAUGUCAAGUCAGCAUGGCCCUUACGUCCUGGGCUACACGCACGCUACAAUGGGUGGGACAGAGGGUAGCCAAGCCGCGAGGUGGAGCGAAUCCCAAAAACCCAUCCUCAGUUCAGAUUGUGGGCUGCAACUCGCCCGCAUGAAGUCGGAGUCGCUAGUAACCGCAGGUCAGCAGUACUGCGGUGAAUACGUUCCCGGGGCUUGUACACACCGCCCGU
rnacentral:rRNA from 1 species